rnacentral:rRNA from 1 species
GUUGAUCAGUGGCUCGAGGACGAACGCUGGCGGCGCGCCUAACACAUGCAAGUCGAACGGUGAAGAGGAGCUUGCUCCUCGGAACCAGUGGCGGACGGGUGAGUAACACGUGAGCAACCUGGCUCUAAGAGGGGGACAACAGUUGGAAACGACUGCUAAUACCGCAUAACGUAUCGGGAUGGCAUCUUCCUGAUACCAAAGAUUUUAUCGCUUAGAGAUGGGCUCGCGUCUGAUUAGAUAGUUGGCGGGGUAACGGCCCACCAAGUCGACGAUCAGUAGCCGGACUGAGAGGUUGAACGGCCACAUUGGGACUGAGACACGGCCCAGACUCCUACGGGAGGCAGCAGGUGGGGGAUAUUGGACAAGUGGGGGCAACCCUGAUCCAGCGACGCCGCGUGAGGGAAGUAAGGUUUUCGGAUUGUAAACCUCUGUUGACGGAGAAAAAAUGAUGGUAUCCGUUUAGAAAGCCACGGCUAACUACGUG